CCUACAGGAGGCAGCAGUGGGGAAUAUUGCACAAUGGGCGAAAGCCUGAUGCAGCGACGCCGCGUGAGUGAAGAAGUAUUUCGGUAUGUAAAGCUCUAUCAGCAGGGAAGAAAAUGACGGUACCUGAUUAAGAAUCCCCGGCUAACUACGGGCCAGCUGCCGCGGUAAUACGGAGGGAGCAGGCGUUAUCCGGAUUUACUGGGUGUAAAGGGAGCGUAAGCGGCAGUACACGUCUGGAGGGAAAUGCCGGGGCUUAACCCCGGAACUGCCGUUGAAACUGGGCACCUAGAGUGGAGGAGAGGUAAGUGGAAUUCGCGGUGUAGCGGUGAAAUGCGUAGAUAUUAGGAGGAACUCC
rnacentral:rRNA from 1 species